rnacentral:lncRNA from 1 species
CACAGCACAGAUCCAUACCAUGGGAAAAUAUUCUUCUGUGUUAAAUACUUAACCCUCAGGCUUCUUUGAGUACAUAAGCUUCUUAAGAAAGUAACUAUUAAGGGAUCAAAAGAUGACUUCAAGUUCCUUCAGAGUAUAAGGAAGCAUGCUUCAUGCCUGGCACCGUGGAUGCUGAGAACAAUGAGGUGUUACCCCUGCCCUCAACGUCCCUGUUGCUCCCUAUCCUUAUAGGUAUCUGACGGAUAAUAGUAUUCUGUUUAAGCCUAUAUCCACCUAUAUGAUUCAGAUAGUAUCAUCUCUACAAAGAGGAAAUCAAAGGCUCUCUUCCUUUUUCCCCCGACUUCAUUCUGGACAUUGAAGAAUUACCUGUGCAGGUGAAGGGCUCAUUCUGUCAGCACCAGGUAAGACCUUCAGAUUUAUCACGUCAUAUGCAGGAAGAAAUCUAAGUUCAAAAAAUCCUGCCUCAUUUCCCAGGAUUUUGGUUCUGUGCUGAAAGGACAGAAGAACAGAAAACUGGCAUUCUUUCUGGGGCACAUUUGCCUUUCCUGGCCUUUUGUA